UUUUUUUUUUUCAUUUUCUACGCUGUGUGCCCGUUACAAAAGCAAGAUAUCAGCGUGUUUUCUUGUGGCCAUCAGCAGCGGGAGGUUUUCAACGUGUGAUCUUCACAAAAGCGACGGUGUCGUAGCGUUUACGUUGGGCCUUCAGCAUCUCAGAAGACGUUACCUCGCCGCAGUCGGACUGCUUUUGGAUUUACGUGGCUCUGUGGGAUGCGGUAUGAAGAUCGUUGCAUUCAAGUUUGCCGCCUCUACUUAACUGUGCAGGGUCUGACUGUAGUCAGAUCUGUAUGACAGAUGUUACACUCGUUUUCUGCGGGAGAAGGACAACAACCCGUGUGGGUUCCCUCCCAGCAACUGAGAUUGCAUUAUAACUCCAAGGAUGGUAGAACUCUCAGAAACAAAAGGCAAAGAACCGUCAGAAAGCAAAGAGCAAGGUUUGUCACCUGACACAUAAACUCCAUGACCUCGACAUUACAACAAAAUAUCGCCAUGUGACCUACAACACCAGUCAUUCUACUCUACCAACAUGGGGCCAGAUAAAAGUCUUAUCACAUCAAACAGAGAAAUUACUACAAGAAGAAGGAAUUCCAAAAAUGACGGUCUGCAGAUGUCUCCAAAGAGUCCGAGGACAAGUCCAAAAUCAACGACAAGCAAUGAUGGCAGUGACGAUCCUAGUCAAUAAAAAGGGGGAAGAUGUGGGUGGUAAGCCACCCAGGUGCCGAGGCAAGAGACCGAAGGAAAAACCAGCCAUACAGAGACAGGAGCUGAAGGGACACGGUGAGAAGUGACCAGAAGUCAAGAGUGUGAGCCCUCUGUCAUGCAUGGACAGGGUUACUAGAUGGCUCCUUGGUCUAGCGGUAACGCCAGUGCCUGGGAAGGCACCCAUUACUUAGUGGACCGGGAAAGGGAAUCUCCCUUUCCCCUGGGGAGAGAAGACUCUGCUCCACUACCUCUUGUGCAAGGCCUGACAUGAGUCAGGCCCGCCCACAGCCAUCUGAAGGCCUAAACGUCUCCCUGUGAUGCUAUGCUUCAGCGGUCACACUCCUGGUGUACUUUCAUGUUCUGCUCUGCGCACCUGGCCCCGCAUUCUAGAUAGCAGUAGCAGAAUUAGUGAAAAUACUAAAGUCUUUGAUCUUUCCAAGAAAUACAUAGAAGAAAUAAUGACGUAAGCUGUCCCCUCUCUCUCUCUCCACCUUGGUUACCAAAUAGGGAAGGGCCCCCUGUCCCGUGGACAUGUGACUCGCGUGACCUUACCUAUCAUUGGAGAUGACUCACACUACUUACCCUGCCGCCUUGCCUUGUAUACAAUAAAUAACAGCGCAGCCAGGCAUUCGAGGCCACUACCAGUCUCCGCAUCUUGGUGGUAGUGGUUCCCCGGGCCCAGCUGUCUUUUCUUCUC
rnacentral:lncRNA from 1 species